rnacentral:rRNA from 1 species
AUUGAACGCUGGCGGCAGGCUUAACACAUGUAAGUCGAGAGAGCGGCGGACGGGUUGGUAAUAUCUGGGAAACUGCCUGAUGGAGGGGGAUUACUACUGGAAACGGUAGCUAAUACAGCAUACCAUCAGAUGUGCCCAGAUUGGUUUAGCUAGUAGGUUGGGUAAUGGCUCACCUAGGCGACGAUCCCUUGCUGGUGUGAGAGGAUGACCAGCCACACGGGAACGGAGACAUGGUCCAUACGCCUAGGGUGGUCAUCAUUGGGGAAUAGUUAACAAUGGGCGUAAGCCUGAUGUAGCCAUGCAGCGUGUGUGAAGAAGGCCUUCGGGUUGUAAUGCACUUUCAGCUGGGAGGCGUUGCUCGCAGAAGAAGCACCGGCUAACUCCGUGCCAGCAGCCGCGGUAAUUC